GGUCCGGUAGUUCAGUUGGCUAGAACGCUCCCCUGUCACGGGAGAGGCCGCCGGUUCGAGUCCGGUCCGGACCG
rnacentral:tRNA from 2 species